rnacentral:rRNA from 1 species
AACGCGAAGAACCUUACCAGCCCUUGACAUUUGGUGCUACUUCCAGAGAUGGAAGGUUCCCUUCGGGGACGCCAGGACAGGUGCUGCAUGGCUGUCGUCAGCUCGUGUCGUGAGAUGUUGGGUUAAGUCCCGCAACGAGCGCAACCCUCGCCCUUAGUUGCCAGCAUUCAGUUGGGCACUCUAGGGGGACUGCCGGUGAUAAGCCGAGAGGAAGGUGGGGAUGACGUCAAGUCCUCAUGGCCCUUACGGGCUGGGCUACACACGUGCUACAAUGGCGGUGACAGUGGGCAGCGAACUCGCGAGAGGGAGCUAAUCUCCAAAAGCCGUCUCAGUUCGGAUUGUUCUCUGCAACUCGAGAGCAUGAAGUUGGAAUCGCUAGUAAUCGCGUAACAGCAUGACGCGGUGAAUACGUUCCCGGGUCUUGUACACACCG